CGGCACGGGUGAGUAACACGUAUCCAACCUGCCGUCUACUCUUGGCCAGCCUUCUGAAAGGAAGAUUAAUCCAGGAUGGCAUCAUGAGUUCACAUGUCCGCAUGAUUAAAGGUAUUUUCCGGUAGACGAUGGGGAUGCGUUCCAUUAGAUAGUAGGCGGGGUAACGGCCCACCUAGUCAACGAUGGAUAGGGGUUCUGAGAGGAAGGUCCCCCACAUUGGAACUGAGACACGGCCCAA
rnacentral:rRNA from 1 species